rnacentral:tRNA from 1 species
GGGCCGGUGGUCUAGUCGGUUAUGACGCUGCUCUCACACAGCGGAGAUCGCCGGUUCGAAUCCGGCCCGGCCCA